rnacentral:rRNA from 1 species
GAAUCUUGCGCACUGGGCGAAAGCCUGACGCAGCCAUGCCGCGUGAAUGAUGAAGGUCUCAGGCUUGUAAAAUUCUUCCACCGGGGACGCUAAUGACCGUACCCGGAGAAGAAGCCCCGGCCAACUUCGUGCCAGCAGCUGCGGUAAUACGAAGGGGGCCAGCGUUGCUCGGAAUUACUGGGCGUAAAGGGCGCGUAGGCGGCUCGUUAAGUCAGAGGUGAAAUCCCAGGGCGCAACCCUGGAACUGCCUUUGAUACUGGCGAUCUUGAGUAUGAGAGAGGUAUGUGGAACUCCGAGUGUAGAGGUGAAAUUCGUAGAUAUUCGGAAGAACACCAGUGGCGAAGGCGACAUACUGGCUCAUUACUGACGCUGAGGCGCGAAAGCGUGGGGAGCAAACA